rnacentral:rRNA from 1 species
AGCGUAUAUUAAAGUUGUUGCAGUUAAAAAGCUCGUAGUUGAAUUUCGGGAUCAAUAUGUUGGUCGUGCCUCGGUACGUACUAGCAUAUUGGUUUCUCCUUUCUGAAGAACCAUGAUGUCAUUUAUUUGGUGUCGUGGGGAAUCAGGACUGUUACUUUGAAAAAAUUAGAGUGUUUAAAGCAGGCUCACGCUUGAAUACAUUAGCAUGGAAUAAUGAAAUAGGACGUUUGAUUCUAUUUUGUUGGUUUCUAGGAUCGACGUAAUGAUUAAUAGGGAUAGUUGGGGGCAUUAGUAUUCAAUUGUCAGAGGUGAAAUUCUUGGAUUUAUUGAAGACUAACUACUGCGAAAGCAUUUGCCAAGGAUGUUUUCAUUAAUCAAGAACGAAAGUUAGGGGAUCGAAGACGAUCAGAUACCGUCGUAGUCUUAACCAUAAAC